rnacentral:lncRNA from 1 species
CCAUCAACCAAAAAUCUUUCAUUACUUGCAGCAAAUCCUAAAUCUCUAAUUUUCAGAAUUCCUAUUUUUCCAAUUUUUAGAAACAUUAAAUUGUCAACCAUGAAAACACCAAAUUCGCAAAUUAAUCUCGCAAUUUUUUUUUCCAUCAGAAACUAAAUCGCACUCACAAGAACCUCGUGAACACCACCGUAGACCACUGUCCUCCUUCAACCUUCGAGUAGCACCAUUCUCAUGCAACCACCCUCUUCUACCAUGAAACCGUAUGGCGAUAAGACCGCCAGAUUGUGUUGCCACCAUCAUCGAACUACCUACAACCACAAAAAAAACCUACAAAUUCAAACACAAAAAAACCCUAACCAUUAUCGCACCCCCUAUCUACUAUUCAACUUGUAAGAAUCCACAAAACCCAGAAAGUCUUAUGUCCAGAAUGCAGAAAACCUAAAUUGCUUGAAUGGAGUAAUCCAAAAAAAGAGAAUUUGGUUAAUAUUACAAAAUUGAACCGAUCAUUCAAUAUUGAUUAAUAUAAACAUUACAUCCUUAGCAUCUUUAAUGCCAUAAGAAAAAAAAAACAAUUUGAAUUAUUUUUUAUAAAACAUGAGAGUAUUAUGAACUUCUAGAAAAAUAAAAGAACUGCUUUAUACAUACCUAAUCCAACUAGAGACCAAAAUCCAAAAUUUGUAUUAAGCUUAAUGUAAAUGGUAAUAUUUUUCUUUUACAUUGUAUAUGUUUUUUUGUCUGACAAAUUUAAUAGACUAAUAUAAAAAUUAAUAAGAACUUACUAGGAAUUAAAUUGAAAUUAAAGAGCUUUUUUUAACAUAAUAAUUGACUGCAAUUUCAAAAACAAAAUAAAAAUAAACUUCAAUAAUAAUGAGAAUAGAUUAAGAAUAAAACAUUUGAGCUCAGGUGGUUUGACUAACGAAUAUUGAUGUCUCUGAUCGGAUGAACAGUACAUCAGUGUGAACGACACAGAUCCAAAAUUUUCUUCUCUCUUUCCGUCGUUUGCGAACGAACCAACACACCUCAGCUGAUACUGUAACUAUGGGAGUGCCAGCCUUUUACCGGUGGCUCGCCGACCGUUACCCGCUUUCCAUCGCCGACGUAGUCGAGGAUGAACCCACUGUUGGCGACGACGGCGUUCCGUCGCCUAUCGACGCGUCUAAACCUAAUCCCAAUGGAAUGGAAUUCGACAACUUGUACUUGGACAUGAACGGCAUUAUCCACCCUUGUUUUCACCCCGAUGGCAGGGUUAGUACUCAGCGUUUCUUAUUUCCUCCUUACUCCGAGACUCCGAGCCUGAAUGGAAUAUGAAGUUCCGAAUUUCGGCUUAAACUUCACGUUUCAAGCUCUGGUUCUGAUUUUCUUAAUUUAAUUCAAUUAGCUAUUAUAUAGUGAAAUAAUGCCACGUUAUGUUUCUGCUUGAGUUGCUGAGUGGUUUUGCUCAAUUUACAUUAAUUCUUGGCAUGCAGCCGGCACCUGCUACCUAUGAUGACGUGUUUAAAUCCGUAUUUGAUUACAUUGACCAUCUCUAUUCGUUGGUUCGUCCAAGGAAGCUUCUCUACCUUGCAAUUGGUAUGAGUAUAAUACAUUUAUGAUGUUUUUUCUCAUUUUCGUUGGUUGCCAAUACCUUUUUUUCUGCCAGAAUGUCUUAUCCCUUCUGACGUACUCCUCUCUUCCUCCUUAGUAAUUUUCGUUUUCUAGCAAAAUGAACUUGACUCACAUAACACAAAAUUACACAAGUGUUCUCCUCUGCUAAACCUAGAGUAUUGCUCUGAGAUGUAGUGCUCCUUUGACUCAUUUUCACAUUUUAUCGAUAAAGAAAACUAAAUGUAAUGUAAUAAUGGAAAGAUUACCUAUAUCUAUAGACCCAACAAAGUUGAACGUCCUAAUAGGCUAUUCCUAUUCUAUGCUAGAAUAGGAUAAUUUAACAUAGGAAAAGGCUCCGGAGUUCGAGAAUGUAACUAAGUAAGUGUGCAAGACGGAGGUCAAGACCUCUAUUUACCUUAAUGUAACCCACAUUAAAACUGAUACUGGCAAAUUAAAAGCCUACAUUGCUGUAUUCAGUUUUACUAAAGCUACAAUCUUUCUGUGUGUCUAACUUUCAAACUGAUGGUUCCUAGCUUCUGUUUUUACUUUGAACCCACUUUCUCAUUUCAUUUGUUUCUUACCGCUCCAGCUUUUCCCUCUUCUUUCCUUACUUUGUAAUUUGCAGAUGGUGUUGCACCACGAGCCAAAAUGAAUCAGCAACGAUCUCGGCGUUUCCGAGCUGCUAAAGAUGCAGCUGAGGCUGUAAGAAUGUUAAUAUUGCUCUUGAAUGCAAGGGACUCCUACGUUUUCUGUGAGGAUGUUUGAGUUAUUGUGCUUAUGUGACCUUACAGGAAGCUGAAGAGGAAAGGCUGAGGAAAGAAUUUGAGGGUGAGGCAAACAUUUUGUCUUCUAAAGAGAAGCGUGAGACUUCAGACUCUAAUGUCAUUACCCCUGGAACUCAAUUUAUGGCAGCCUUGUCAGUGGCUCUCCAGUAUUAUGUACAGACUAGAUUGAAUCACAAUCCUAGCUGGCAGAAUACAAAGGUGCAAUUUACGCCUUAUCCAAUUAAUUCUUUAUAUGUCUUGAUACCUUCAAGAUGGAUCAUUCCUAUCUGUGGAGUAAUCCCGUAUAUUUUUUUCUUUACACAUUUGGUUUUCAGGAUACUUUGUCUCUAUAUAUUUAUUUAUGGGGCUGCAUUGGGUGAUUAAUUAUUUGAAGGUUAUAUUGUCUGAUUCAAACUCGCCCGGUGAAGGAGAACAUAAAAUAAUGGAAUACAUCCGGUUACAACGCAACCUUCUUGGUUUCAAUCCAAAUACUCGACAUUGUUUGUAUGGAUUGGUGAGUUUUUGUCCUGUUUCGAAUUUUCAUUUUAUCUUCAUUUGGUGUAUUUAUCCUUUCCCUGAUAUUUGCAUGAUACAAUCCUUAAACCAGGAUGCUGAUUUGAUUAUGCUCUCCUUAGCUACACAUGAGGUUCACUUCUCAAUAUUGAGGGAGGUUAGUUUCUAAUGUAUGACUUUUUAUGAUAUUAGCUAAUUGAUCUCUAUGGAUUGUCUCAAAUGAUUACUUAAUGCAUGAACAGGUAGUUACUUUACCUGGUCAACAGGAUAAGUGUUUUUUGUGUGGCCAAGUUGGCCAUUUUGCAGCUGAUUGUCAAGUUGAGGACUUUGAUACUCCUGAUGAUAGUCCAAUUCAUAAGAAGAAAUAUCAGGUUUGAGAAUUAAAGUCCAGCAUAUUGAUCUGAAUCUUUAUAUUUAUAUGCUUUCUGUUUUCAAUUUUAAGUUAAUUCAUAUUGUUUACAGUUUCUUAACAUCUGGGUGCUGCGUGAAUAUUUGCAAUUUGAAUUGGAGAUACCCAAACCUCCAUUUGAGAUUGACUUUGAACGAGUUGUGGAUGAUUUUGUAUUUCUAUGCUUCUUUGUUGGCAAUGAUUUCCUCCCACAUAUGCCAACAUUGGAGAUCAGGGAGGUAAGCAUCCAAAAUGCACCAUGUUACACUGAGCUGUAGCUGGAAACGAGAAAUAUGGCAUUGCCAUCUACAUCUUAUUGCAACUAUAUUUGGGAUGUGUGGGAUGAUCUAAACAUGCUUUGGUUAUGACUUUUGUUACUCUGAACAUGUCUCUUUCUAUUUAUGAAUGCUAUUAUCUUUGAUAAACUUUCUCCUAUUUCAGGGGGCUAUAAAUUUAUUGAUGCAUAUAUACAGAAAUGAAUUUUCUGUCAUAGGUGGUUAUCUUACUGAUGCAGGCAAGGUAAAUUUAUUUUCUCUAUAUUUGUAGUAUCUCAGUUAUAAUUUGUUCUUUAGUAUGAUAUAGUUUUAUCCAGCAAUGUCUCUUCACUUCAGUUGCUUGUUUUGUGCUUUGGAUAUGUUAGAAUUGUUUAACAUGUUUGAAUAGGUUGACUUGUUAGGAUAGUUUAACAUAUUUACGUAAUACCUAUUCUCACCUAGGUGUAGUCUUUUCAGAUCUUUCUGUGUAUCUCUAAUGUAAGGACUCUUGUAAAUACAUGAAUAAGCUUAGAGAUGCAUGAAUCUCUUGAGCAUUCUUUAUCAUAUUUUUGUUCUCAAGUUGGUAUUAGAACAGGUCAAUUUUGCCCUAUCUAUCAUAGUCCAAUGAAAAUACUGCCACUUGCUGUUGUCAGCCGCUGAUUGCUGUCAUUUUUUCUCUAUCAAACACCUGGUCAUGUUCAUCUCAUCAAGCGAUAGAGAAUCCACUGUUCACGGUUAACAUCUGCCACCACUAUCUCCCCCAAUAUGCCACCAUUGACCACUGCCAUCGAGGGACAGAGAACCCAACUAGUAACAAAGGCUGGAUUGUUUCCACGUGCACCCACAUACACCAUCUUUGUGCACCCAAUUAUGCACGUGGAAGACAAAUGCUGCAUGGCCUCCAUAGGUUUGUCGGCCUCCUUUGUCCAUAUUUGAACCCUUGGUUCUUGCUUUCCACCACUGAUUGUUUCAACCAAUAGGUUGGAGCCUCUAGUCCCUCUUGAAUCCCUUUUUUUUACCUUCUUCCUUCUUCAAAAUGUCUUCAAGACCUCCCACCACUUUUCUUGGGACUCUCACAAUUGCUUUAGAGAAGCUUAAUGGAGAAAAUUAUCUCUGUUAUCAUAAAUUUCCAAAACUAAAAUGUAGCCGCCAAGCACAAAAUCCCACUCAGUCUUGUUUGUCAACAUCUUACAUUUCUCAAACUGUGGAAAGUCAAAGUUCAUGGAUAAUUGAUUCAAGAAUGUCUACCUUCAUGGUGUCAAGAAUGUCUUUUUUCAUGGUAAUCUGGAAGAGGAAAUCUACAUGGAGCAACCUUCUAGCUUUGUUGCUUAGGAGGAGUAUGUGUUACAUCGUAAAUACACUAAAAUCUAUGAUUUUAAACUAUCUCUGCAUGCUUGGUUUGACAUAUCUAAUCUUUUAUUGUCAUGUAUAUCCCAAGAUAUACAUGUACUCAUUUGUGUAUUUUGAUGACAUAGUCAUUAAACAUAAUGAUGCCACUAAAAUUUCUUAGCUAAAGAAUCAUUUAUGCAAUUACUUUCAGACAAAAGAUCUUGGAUUUUUUAAAUAUUUUAUGGGUAUUGAAGUAGUUCAAUCAAAGGAAGGUAUUGUAAUUUCUCAAAGAAAAUUUGCCUUAGAUAUCCUAAAGGAAAUAAGUGUGAUUGAAUGUAGAGUAGUAGACCGUUAGUUUUAGGGUUUAUGGUUAAAUAAAAUAUUGAUGGCAGAACAAAGUGAGCCUUUCUAAAACUUAGAAAGGUAUGGAAGAUUUUUUAGGAAACUUAUUUAUCUCACCAAUAUUGGACCUAAUUUGUUCUUUGCAUUGGAUUGGUUAGUCAAUUAAUGCGAGUUCUUCGUCUUAAUCACUAAAAUGUUAUCAUUCGUAUCCUUAGAUGCCUCAAAAAGGAUUUAGCACAUGUAAUGGUGUAUGAAGAUAAGAGAAAUACUUAGAUGUAUGGGUGUUCUAAUGUUAUUUGGAUAGGAUCUCCUAUAAACACAUGUGUCAUAAUUGGAUAUUGUGUUUGCAUUGGAGAAAAUAUUAUUUCUUGGAAAAGCAAUAAAUAGAAUGUGGUUAUUCAACCCUGUGCCAAAAUAUAAUCAUUUAUGAAAUUGUGUGGAUAAAAUAAUUCAAAGAGUUAAAAUUUGUGAAAUUCAAUUAAAAUGUAUAGUGAUAACCGACAACUAUACACAGUACUUCCAAUUCUGAAUUUCUUGAAAGAAUCUAACCCAAAAAUGGAUUGUUAUUUCAUUUGAGAGAAGUUGUUGCUAAGGAAAUUUGCACGGAAUUUGUCAACUCCUAGGGGAUCAACUUAGGAAUAUUUUGAUUGAGUCCUUGAGAAGAUCUUGAAUUCAAUUUAUAUGUUCGAAGUUUAAUCCAUACAAUUUGUAUGUUUAAUACUUAAGGGAUGUGUUAGAAUAGUUUAACUUGUUUCAAUAGGUUAACUUACCAUGAUAGUUUAAAUUAAUUUUUGUAAUACUUUUCUGUCACCUUGGUGUAGUCUUUUUAGUGUAUCUCUUAGAAAUACAUGAAUCAACUAGGAGAUGCAUUAAUCUCUUAAGCAUUCUUUCUUAUAUUUUCAUUUUCAGUUCGAUAUAACUCUUGAAUUCUCAAUCUGCAAUGUGAAAUUCUUUAUACCUCGCAGGUUUUCUUAGAUAGAGUGGAACGAUUUAUCCAGUUUAUUGCUAUUCAUGAAGAUCAAAUCUUUCAGAAACGAGUCUGCAUUCAGCUGGUAUUCUGCUUUUAAAUGCAUUUCAUGAACUGAUAUUCCUUAGCUAUAUGUUCUUUUAAUAUGCUUUUAUAUGUUACUGCUUCCUGGCAUGUGAAUGUAUUUACAGGCUGCAGAAAAUAAUGAAGAGAUUAGAGCAAGGGCAAGAGGAGAAAUGCCUCGACAACCCCGAGCCUCGCUUGUGGAUAAGGUUAAAUAUUAGGAUAUAUUGUCAGAUUAUUUUCUUUAUUUAUGUUUUAAUUUUCUACAUCAUGUUUUGGAACACCACCUAAACUGCAGUCGGGACUGCAAAAGUAAUUCUACAGGUGUUUCCAAACAAACACUAAGGGUAGCAUGUCUGUGACAGGGAGGCAAGGCCAAUGUUUGACCCAUCAAAUGCAAUGAGAAAUUUAGAAAUGCUUAUCAAUUUCAAACUAAAAUGAUUCUGAUUUUUUCAGGUUAAAUUAGGAGAUCCUGGAUACAAGGAAAGAUAUUAUGCUGAAAAGUUUGGUGUAUCAAAUCUUGAGGAGAUUGAUAAAAUUAGGAAAGAUACCGUAAGUUCUAUGUCUGACAAAAGUCUAAUCAUGCAAAAAAAUUUGCAGUUGUUAGAUAUGCUUUUAUAUUCAAAUCUAAUGUUCACACAUGUUAUUUAAUCUUUUAAAUGCUGGCAGUGUCCAUUUAUAUGCAUUCUGACUUAGAAAGGAAAGCAUACAAACAUAUUUCUACCUUUUCUUUUUAAUUGAUGUGGCUAUACUUAGGGUCUUGAUUCUUGAACUUUACUGUUCCCUGUUCCAAAGGAGGAUAGGGAAUCUGCUUAUGCCCUUCAAGUGCAUGUUGUCUUCAAAUGGGUUUAGAUCUCUUGAUACUGGCAUAAACAAAACUCAAUGUUGCGCUGAAGAAUAGCUUCUUUUAUAAAUAUUUUGAAAAAUAUAAUGUUGAACUAGAAGUGGACAUCACGUGCAUUCUUAACAGGGAUAGGUGAUUUGUUGAUUCUGAAUAUUUUGCGUUCUUGUGCAUAUUAUGCUUCUCAUCCUCAUUAAUUUCUUGUAUUAGAACUGGAAUUUUGCUCAUCGUUUUAUUUGUCUUUUAGGUCUUGAAAUAUGUGGAAGGCCUUUGUUGGAUUUGUCACUAUUAUUAUCAGGGUGUCAGCUCAUGGAAGUGGUUAGUGUUUUUUUUUUUUUUUAAAUCUAGGUAAAUGAAGGUGCCACAAAAAGGUUUGAUAAGCCUAAGGAUGAGCAUCACAAAAAUUGGUAAAUUGUUGAUAAGAUUGCAAGAUGCAGGGAAGAACCCUACCAGAGAUAUAUACUCAUUGGUUGUUAAAAUCAUCCGCAUCCAUUUUCUGAAUUGCAAAAUGUUUUAUUACAAAUUUAGUUUUAGAGUCUUGUCUCAUUUUGUAAUUAAAUAAAAGAAGAAUAAGAUUCCUAUAUCUCAAGUAAAGCUGAUUUGGUCCCAUGGUUCAGUGAGCACUUUCUAAACUUCUGAUUCGGGGUUCAAAUCCAAAAUGCUAGCAAUAUAUUAAUAAUUUUAGUUUAGCUCUCCGAGAAUACUAUGCAUAUAAUCAGCUUUGUCUACUCAAAAUGUUGGGCCAUGGUCUUGAUCCUUCUCAUCAUGGCCUUGGCUUUGAUGUCAACAUCAGAAGUGUUCCUUCAAUUUGGUUGAAUUAUCCUUCAUGACUAUGUUCGAUCUUCUUAAUAUUACUUUUAUUAUUUCUUCAGGUACUACCCAUAUCAUUAUGCACCCUUUGCUUCUGAUUUUAAAGAUCUAGCUGAUCAGGAAAUAACUUUCUUACCGGGAGAACCAUUUAAACCAUUUGAUCAGCUCAUGGGCACCCUACCUGCUUCAAGGUUUCUUCCUUCUCUCCUGGUUAAUUUAAAUCUAUUCUAUCAUUCUUUUUUUCUGAUUUAUUUUUUGUUGCAGUUCAAGUGCACUGCCUAAGAAAUAUAGAGAUUUGAUGACUGAUCCUUCGUCACCUAUUUUUCACUUUUACCCUGCUGGUGAGAUAAUAGUCUAUUAAUUGUUUAUUAUUAAGUCUGUUGAAUUUGACAUUUUCUUUUUCUGUUAUGACAUGGAUAACUAUUUGGCAGAUUUUGAGAUUGAUAUGAAUGGAAAACGAUUUGCAUGGCAGGUAUUAGCAUGUUUACAAAUUAGGAAUGCUUUAGAAUGAAGUGGGAGUUAGGUUGUUUUCUAACUACUUUUGUGGGUGCUUUUCAGGGUGUUGCGAAGCUACCAUUUAUUGAUGAGAAGAAAUUGCUUGCUGCCACAAGAAAGAUUGAAGACACAUUAACGGUUUGGAAUUUUUAAGUGAAUGUGUGUAUUUAUGAUUAUUGAUGAAGAAAACUUGUGUCAUGAAAAUUGUUGGUCUUGAACUGCAUGAAAGAGUGAACUGUAAAAUUAAACCUUGAGGUUCUUCUUGAAUCCAAUAGGAAAUUUUAUGUUUAAAAUAAGAUCAAAGUUGCAUAAAAUGCUUGUUCAGCAUUCUCAACAGUAGAAAAUGAAGCUACAACUCUUUCAGUAGGAAUUGUCGAAUGUUGAUUGACUGUAGCCAUUUUUAACAAGAUAAAUUUGUUGAGUGUUAAUAGUCUUCCUCUGAUCUAUUUUUGGCUACUCAAUUGCUGGAUGAUUUGUUUUAGAUCUUUACUUUAAAAGAUAUUUCAAACAGGUAGAUAAGUUAGACAUUUCUUUUUGGUCUGAGUUAUCCAUAUUUUACAGCAAAACAAUACAUGAAAGCUUCUAAUUAUUGUUUCUUCAGUACUUAAUUUUCUUAUAUGUAGGAGGAAGAACAGUUUCGGAACAGUGUGAUGCUUGAUUUGCUAUAUGUCAAUCGUGCACAUGAUUUGGCUUCACAUAUCUUAUCUUAUUAUCAUGUUUCUAGUCAUUUAGCCCCACACGAAAGAUGUGUCAGGCCAAUUGACACAAAUGCUAGGUUAGUGAAUCUGCUAGUGGUCAUCACUCAUCAUUUUGAAUUCUAAUAGCUAUUUAAUUAGCUGAUAUAUCUGUUUUGUUAUCCUUGUUAGUAGUGGUGGGAUGAAUGGAUAUUUUUGGUUAUGUGAAAGAAAUGUUUUCAGCUCUGUUGUAUCUUCUCCCAUCAGAGGAUUGCAAGAUGUUGAAUAUAACCAAGUCUUGUAAGUUUUGUCCUCUGCCUACACCUAUGGAGUAAUUUAAUCUUCUGUCGAGAACUCAUGUUUAGUGCUUUUGUAUUUCAGAAAUAUUACAUUUCUUAACCCUCGUAAACACAAUCAUAUCCCGAAACUUCCAGAUGGUGUAGUAAUACCCAACAAGGUUAGUGUUCUGACCGACUACUCUUAGCAUCUGACUUGAAAAGUUAAUCAAUUCAUCUGAUGGAUGGAGCUACACAACUGUUGCUUAUUUAUAUACUCAUAAAACCAUUUCUUGUGUCAAUAACUAUUAACUUGGUUUGGGGAGUUAGGUCAGGCAGACUUGUGUAUAUUUUGACCUUUAUUAUGUUUUUAUUUUUCAAUUAGAUGGUGAUGCAUCUUUGAAAUAAUAGUUGUAAAUGUACUUAAGAAAUAUCAUCUUCAUUUAUCGUUUGCUUAAAUGCAUUUAGUGUUCCUUGAUGUUGGUGUCUAGGAAUUUCCCUCAAGAUUAUCCUAGCGAAUGGUCUCCACAGUAAGGCUGUAUACAUAUCUUACAUAACCUGUUUACUACGUUUGAUUAAAUAAUAAAACAUUUUCAUUCUCUAAAUUCUGUCUACAAAAUAUUCUGUUCUAUCUCUUCGAUUCUAAAUUCAACAAUACCUGCUGUUUCCUUCUCGGUUCCAUUAUAUAGAUCUCACUUUCACAUUGUUUUUGUUUGCAGGUAUUAAAAGCCACUGAUAUUAAACCUUUUCCUGUGCUGUGGCAUGAGGAGAAUAUUGGUCAGCGACUGCAAGCAAGAGAAAGGUGAGAAUCUGUUUCCUCGAGGAUGUCAGGUUUGGGCAAUAUAUUUCAUGUUCUCGCUGACUGCGUAAAUAUUCAAUAUUGCAGCGCUUGCCAAACUAAUGGUUGAGCUUAAUAUUCCAAAGGUUAUCAAAUCUGGAAUUCCAGACUAAUUUUUGAAUCAUAAACUGAAGAUCAUAUUGAACUGUAACAUUCAGAGAUGACUAAAAAUAGCUUGAAAUGUUCAUAUUCAAUAAAGGAUGCAAUAGUGCUGAAUGUAAUACAUUUAACAAAAUAAUUUACAAAACAAGUAAACCACUAGUCAAACAAAACAAUUGAGUCUCACCAUCAACCUGUGUAGAGGCCAAUAAAUAAUUCUUUGCAUGUUUCUUAUAAAUGGUAUUUCGUCCUAAGAGCAGCAUCCCAUAGUGUACUGCGGACAUAGGAUAAGAAUUACAUUUUAUUUGUGGUCUUUUGUUGCGAACAAUAGAUUGUGCUAAGACCUAAGGAAAGACUCUUCUUUCCUAUGAAAGCUACACAGACUGAUUGCAUGAAGCUUAUGCUUUAGCAUAGUUAGAACUGAGCCCUUAUAUUGCAAAAUAGCGUUCGUAUAGAGUCAGAGUGAUAGUCUAUUGCUGAAAAAUGUCACUGAUAACCGAGCCCUCCAAUAGAGUAGCUACCAAAUUGGGUGAGUGUGUGAUUGUGAAGUCCAUAUUUCCAAAAGAUGAAAACAUAGCAAUGGAUAAAUAGUGUGCAUGCAAUUGUGCUCCUCCAUGUCUUUUUCAUUUAACAUUUAAGCGUACCCAAUUUUCAACUUUUACUAGAAUCAAUGAAAGAUAAAGGAACAAAAGUUAACAAAUCAUUGAAUCAUAAUGGUGAUGUAUGAAAUUGCAACUAAUUUGUUUAUAUAGUUAUAUUUACAAAAUUUUGAAAAGUAAUUAUUAGAAUUUUCUUAUAGUAUACUUCUGGACAAUCUGAAGAAGUCAAUCUGAAAAGUUCUCGGUGACUUUUAAUCCAAGCACCUAGUUUUCUUGAUGCAUGGAACCUGUCAUUAUUCUAUUGGAGAUACUUGAUUUGCCUGACCAUUCUGUAUAUGAUGCAUCCCACAGGCCACGAGUAUCUGGAGCCAUCGCUGGAUAUCAACUGGGAGAAGCAGCUCAUCGACUUGUUAAGAACACUCUCAACAUUAAAUCAAAUGACACAUCACAUGGAAUGCUGGAGCAACCUCCACUCCAUAAAACGAACAGGCUUCGAUCAGCUGGAUAUGGAAAAUAUUAUGGUGAGAACGCAAGUGGUUAUAAUGGACAAUAUAAUCACCAUGGCAUGAUGACUACACCAAAAUAUGGUGGACAUAGUGACGGACAGCAUUUUAAGAUACGCGAUAGGUUACAGCGUGAAGAACAGUUCCACAAUGUGAAAACUGAGUUUUCUGCUCUAUCGAUGGGGGAAAGAGAGAGACCCAGGUCAUUAAGGCUUCCAAGUUCCAGACCAAUAGCCAAUUUACAACCCCGGUUUGUGCAGAACAUGGAUCCUUCAAUACCAUCUACAAAAUGGAUGACUAAACCACAACCUACGAAUGGCAUGCCUAAUAGGAAUCAAGAAGCUGCAUUGGGGCCAACAACUUAUGAUAAGCAGACCAAGAAGGUUUACCAAGUUAAAAUACGUCAGCUAGAUACACCAGAACCUGCGAAGCAAUAGUGGUUGUCGUGGAAUUGGUGGCCAGUUGUUAAGCACAAUUUGCGGCUAGGAAUCAGCACUAACUGUUGCUCUGUUCCAUAGUGUGGAACUAUGUUAUUGUGCUGCUGUAUAUAUAAUCAUGUAUCGUUUAGAGCUUACCAGCUUUGCGUAGCAAUUAGCCUGUAUGUACAUACAUACCAGAUGUGAAUAUAAUUUGAUUUGUUUAAUAGGAAAUGCAGGAUAUUUAUCUGGGAUUGUCAUGCCCAGCAGCAUCUCUGUAUGUUGUAUGAGAAAUAGAAACUGUUACAUGGAGGAAGCUGCUCUAGUGACCUUCUGACAAUUCUGGUCGGCUUUAUUUGAUGAAAUGUUCAAGAUACUGAAAGAGAGGGGUGCUCUUAUC